GACACAACAAGGUAAUGAGAACACAAACAAACAAGAAAAAAAAUUUGAAUAGGUAAGCGAUCGAUUAAUGAUACAUUAUUUGGCUAAACAACCAUGGUUCUCACUGGGAAAUAUGACAAAACAGGUGUACACCAAAAUAAUGCAAAAAAAUAAACCCAAAAGUUUUGGGUUUUACCCAUCUAUAUUGAACAAGUCAAUAAUCCAGAGGAAACAUCUAAUUUUACUUUUUUUUCCUUGUGGAAUUUUUCAUGUUACUUGGUGCCCAGAUAAAAAGACUUGUUUUCCCAAACUUGCACCUAAUUGGUUUUGCACUAGAUGUAUCCCUUUACUGCUUCAAAAUUUACAAAAGCUAAGAAUCCUGGGCCGGUGGCUGACCUUUACAAGUGCAGUUCCAAGGUA
rnacentral:misc_RNA from 1 species